rnacentral:rRNA from 1 species
UACGGGGGGGGCAAGCGUUGUUCGGAAUUACUGGGCGUAAAGGGCUCGUAGGCGGCCAACUAAGUCAGACGUGAAAUCCCUCGGCUUAACCGGGGAACUGCGUCUGAUACUGGAUGGCUUGAGAUUGGGAGAGGGAUGCGGAAUUCCAGGUGUAGCAGUGAAAUGCGUAGAUAUCUGGAGGAACACCGGUGGCGAAGGCGGCAUCCUGGACCAACACUGACGCUGAGGAGCGAAAGCCAGGGGAGCAAACGGG